rnacentral:rRNA from 1 species
CCUGGUUGAUCCUGCCAGUAAUCAUAUGCUUGUCUCAAAGAUUAAGCCAUGCAUGUCUAAGUACAUGCCGAAAUAAGGCGAAACCGCGAAUGGCUCAUUAAAUCAGUUAUGGUUCCUUAGAUCGUUUCUUCCUACUUGGAUAACUGUGGCAAUUCUAGAGCUAAUACAUGCAGUGAGCCUGGAGCCCUUUGGGUAACGGGUGCUUUUAUUAGACCAAGAUCGAUCGGGUUUCGGCCCGUAUUGUGUGGUGACUCUGGAUAACUUUGUGCUGAUCGCAUGGCCACGAGCCGGCGACGUUUCUUUCAAGUGUCUGCCUUAUCAACUUUCGAUGGUAGGUUACUUGCUUACCAUGGUUGUUACGGGUAACGGAGAAUCAGGGUUCGAUUCCGGAGAGGGAGCCUGAGAAACGGCUACCACAUCCAAGGAAGGCAGCAGGCGCGCAAAUUACCCACUCCCGGCACGGGGAGGUAGUGACGAAAAAUAACAAUACGGGACUCUUUUGAGGCCCCGUAAUUGAAAUGAGUACACUCUAAAUCCUUUAACGAGGAUCAAUUGGAGGGCAAGUCUGGUGCCAGCAGCCGCGGUAAUUCCAGCUCCAAUAGCGUAUACUAAAGCUGCUGCGGUUAAAAAGCUCGUAGUUGGAUCUCAGUUCCAGACGAGUAGUGCAUCUACCCGAUGCGACGGCUCGGACUGAACAUCAUGCCGGUUCUUUCUUGGUGCACUUCAUUGUGUGCCUCGAGAUGGCCGGUGCUUUUACUUUGAAAAAAUUAGAGUGCUCAACGCAGGCGAGUCGCCUGAAUAAACUUGCAUGGAAUAAUAGAACAAGACCUCGUUUCUGUUCUGUUGGUUUUUGGUUUUUGGAAUACGAGGUAAUGAUUAAGAGGGACGGACGGGGGCAUUCGUAUUGCGGCGCUAGAGGUGAAAUUCUUGGACCGUCGCAAGACGAACUACUGCGAAAGCAUUUGCCAAGAAUGUUUUCAUUGAUCAAGAACGAAAGUCAGAGGUUCGAAGGCGAUCAGAUACCGCCCUAGUUCUGACCAUAAACGAUGCCAACCAGCGAUCCGCCUGAGUUACUCAAAUGACUCGGCGGGCAGCUUCCGGGAAACCAAAGUAUUUGGGUUCCGGGGGAAGUAUGGUUGCAAAGCUGAAACUUAAAGGAAUUGACGGAAGGGCACCACCAGGAGUGGAGCCUGCGGCUUAAUUUGACUCAACACGGGAAAACUUACCCGGCCCGGACACUGGGAGGAUUGACAGAUUGAGAGCUCUUUCUUGAUUCGGUGGAUGGUGGUGCAUGGCCGUUCUUAGUUGGUGGAGCGAUUUGUCUGGUUAAUUCCGAUAACGAACGAGACUCUAGCCUAUUAAAUAGGUGCGGGGUUCCCAGCACCUUACAACCUUCUUAGAGGGACAAGCGGCUCCUAGCCGCACGAAACAGAGCAAUAACAGGUCUGUGAUGCCCUUAGAUGUCCGGGGCCGCACGCGCGCUACACUGAAGGAAGCAGCGUGUCUUUAUCCCUGUCUGAAAAGACUGGGUAACCCGUGGAACUUCUUUCGUGAUUGGGAUAGGGGCUUGCAAUUGUUCCCCUUGAACGAGGAAUUCCCAGUAAGCGCGAGUCAUAAGCUCGCGUUGAUUACGUCCCUGCCCUUUGUACACACCGCCCGUCGCUACUACCGAUUGAAUGAUUUAGUGAGGUCUUCGGACCGAUGUCCGGCGCGGCCUUUCGGUUGCGCCGGUCUGUUGGAAAGAUGACCAAACUUGAUCAUUUAGAGGAAGUAAAAGUCGUAACAAGGUUUCCGUAGGUGAACCUGCGGAAG